rnacentral:lncRNA from 1 species
CUCAGGACAAAGGGCACAGGUAGCAGAGGUAAAUUGAUUCAUCUUGUCUGGUCAUAAUGUUUCUUGCCACUCCCGUGUUAUACAAUGAAGGAAGAAAGUGCUGAUUAUCAAAGGAAGAAUAUAUACUGCUUUGCUAGGUUCAGGAGUUUCCUAUGACAACAUAAGCUUUGGAAGCCGAGAGGCAGAGUAGGCGCCAUGGUUGGUUGACUGAGCAGGACGACACUGUCAUCAUCUCUCCAUUCUGCCAUCCUGAGUGGAGGCUUCGUUUUCAGGCUGGUUGCAAGAUGGCUACAGAAGCUCCUAACAUCACAACAAGAGAUAUGGGAUUAACUGGCAAACCAAGCCCUCACUCAGCGCGGUCCAAUGGGUCCUCAAGGUUCAAGAGUUGCGAGAGGCCCCACUGGGAAACCCAGGCCAAAGGGCACUUCAGGCUGUGA